CCUACGGGUGGCAGCAGUCGAGAAUCAUUCACAAUGGGGGAAACCCUGAUGGUGCGACGCCGCGUGGGGGAAUGAAGGUCUUCGGAUUGUAAACCACUGUCAUGUGGGAGCAAAUUAAAAAGAUCGUACCACAAGAGGAAGAGACGGCUAACUCUGUGCCAGCAGCCGCGGUAAUACAGAGGUCUCAAGCGUUGUUCGGAAUCACUGGGCGUAAGGCGUGCGUAGGCUGUUUCGUAAGUCGUGUGUGAAAGGCGCGGGCUCAACCCGCGGACGGCACAUGAUACUGCGAGACUAGAGUAAUGGAGGGGGAACCGGAAUUCUCGGGGUAGCAGUGAAAUGCGUAGAUAUCGAGAGGAACACUCGUGGCGAAGGCGGGUUCCUGGACAUUAACUGACGCUGAGGCACGAAGGCCAGGGGAGCGAAAGGGAUUAGAUACCUCAGUAGUC
rnacentral:rRNA from 1 species